GAUGAAACUAGUUAACAACUCUGCCAGUAUCCGAUCAAAGAAUCAAUGCCUUGGUUUUCUGCUUCCUCUUCCUCCCGCCUCCAGACUAAAGUCGAAUGAACAGCAACAAGGUUUCCAGGAUUCCUGACGUUAGCACAGGGGAGCACUGGAAAUGUGACAACAUUGGAAAGAGGGUCCCUGGACUAUGUCACCCUUUGCGGCGGAAGCAGAAAGUGCCGGAAACACUCAGCAGAGGGUGGUAAGAGUAUGGAACGAGCUGCAAGAGGAAGUGGUAGAGGUGGAUACAAUAACGACACUUAAAAGACAUUUGAACACAUACAUUGACAGGAAUGGUUUCCAGAGAUAUGCGGCAAAUGCAAG